rnacentral:misc_RNA from 1 species
GAUGAAGAACGCAGCGAAAUGCGAUAAGUAAUGUGAAUUGCAGAAUUCAGUGAAUCAUCGAAUCUUUGAACGCACCUUGCGCCCUUUGGCCAUUCCGAAGGGCAUGCCUGUUUGAGUAUCAUGAACACCUCAACUCUCAUGGUCUGCCAUGAUGAGCUUGGACUUUGGGGGUCUUGCUGGCCUACUGUCAGCUCCUCUCAAAUGAAUCAGCUUACCAGUGUUUGGUGGCACCACAGGUGUGAUAACUAUCUACGCUUGUGGUUUUCUGCCAGGUAACCUCCAGUGAUGGAGGUUCGCUGGAGCUCACAAAUGUCUCUCCUCAGCGAGGACAGCUUUUUGAACGUUUGAUCUCAAAUCAGGUAGGACUACCCGCUGAACUUAAGCAUAUCAAUAAGCGGAGGA